CUUCUUGAAUUUAAUUGGAAGUCGGGUCUGUCCACUGAGGAUUUAUUUGAAGGGCCGCGGUAUAUUGACCGUGCAAAGGUAGCAUAAUCAUUAGUUUCUUAAUUGGGAACUGGAAUGAAUGGUUUGACGAAAUAAUUAUUGUCUCUAGUAUAAUUAAUUGAAUUUUACUUUUGAGUUAAAAGGCUUAAAUAUUAAUAAGGGACGAUAAGACCCUAUAGAUCUUUAUAAUAAUUUGAUUAUUAUUAGUUUGUGGUUGUUUAUGUUAUAAAUUUUAUUAAUUUUAUUAUUUUGUUGGGGUGAUGUAAGAAUAUAAAAACUUCUUAAUUUUUUAACUUUGAUUAUUGAAUUUUUGAUCCUAUAAUUAUGGAAUCUAGAUUAAGAUACCUUAGGGAUAACAGCGUAAUUUUAUUGGAAAGUUCUUAUUGAUAAUGAAGAUUGCGACCUCGAUGUUGGAUUAGGAAUAUAAGUUGGUGUAGAUGUUAAUAUUAUUGGUCUGUUC
rnacentral:rRNA from 1 species